rnacentral:rRNA from 1 species
GGUGAGUAAUGUCUGGGAAACUGCCUGAUGGAGGGGGAUAACUACUGGAAACGGUAGCUAAUACCGCAUAACGUCGCAAGACCAAAGAGGGGGACCUUCGGGCCUCUUGCCAUCGGAUGUGCCCAGAUGGGAUUAGCUAGUAGGUGGGGUAACGGCUCACCUAGGCGACGAUCCCUAGCUGGUCUGAGAGGAUGACCAGCCACACUGGAACUGAGACACGGUCCAGACUCCUACGGGAGGCAGCAGUGGGGAAUAUUGCACAAUGGGCGCAAGCCUGAUGCAGCCAUGCCGCGUGUAUGAAGAAGGCCUUCGGGUUGUAAAGUACUUUCAGCGGGGAGGAAGGGAGUAAAGUUAAUACCUUUGCUCAUUGACGUUACCCGCAGAAGAAGCACCGGCUAACUCCGUGCCAGCAGCCGCGGUAAUACGGAGGGUGCAAGCGUUAAUCGGAAUUACUG